rnacentral:rRNA from 1 species
UAGGGCGCGUUCCUUAUCAUGCAAGUCGAGCGAAUGGAUAAGAAGCUUGCUCUUAUGAAGUUAGCGGCGGACGGGUGAGUAACACGUGGGUAACCUGCCCAUAAGACUGGGAUAACUCCGGGAAACCGGGGCUAAUACCGGAUAACAUUUUGAACUGCAUGGUUCGAAAUUGAAAGGCGGCUUCGGCUGUCACUUAUGGAUGGACCCGCGUCGCAUUAGCUAGUUGGUGAGGUAACGGCUCACCAAGGCAACGAUGCGUAGCCGACCUGAGAGGGUGAUCGGCCACACUGGGACUGAGACACGGCCCAGACUCCUACGGGAGGCAGCAGUAGGGAAUCUUCCGCAAUGGACGAAAGUCUGACGGAGCAACGCCGCGUGAGUGAUGAAGGCUUUCGGGUCGUAAAACUCUGUUGUUAGGGAAGAACAAGUGCUAGUUGAAUAAGCUGGCACCUUGACGGUACCUAACCAGAAAGCCACGGCUAACUACGUGCCAGAGGC